rnacentral:rRNA from 1 species
GGGCCCGCACAAGCGGUGGAGCAUGUGGUUUAAUUCGAUGCAACGCGAAGAACCUUACCUGGCCUUGACAUAGUAGAAACUUUCCAGAGAUGGAUUGGUGCCUUCGGGAAUCUACAUACAGGUGCUGCAUGGCUGUCGUCAGCUCGUGUCGUGAGAUGUUGGGUUAAGUCCCGCAACGAGCGCAACCCUUUUCCUUACUUGCCAGCAUUUCGGAUGGGAACUUUAAGGAUACUGCCAGUGACAAACUGGAGGAAGGCGGGGACGACGUCAAGUCAUCAUGGCCCUUACGGCCAGGGCUACACACGUGCUACAAUGGUCGGUACAAAGGGUUGCUACCUCGCGAGAGGAUGCUAAUCUCAAAAAGCCGAUCGUAGUCCGGAUCGCAGUCUGCAACUCGACUGCGUGAAGUCGGAAUCGCUAGUAAUCGCGGAUCAGAAUGCCGCGGUGAAUACGUUCCCGGGCCUU